CCGGCCGGGGGACGGACUGGG
rnacentral:sRNA from 1 species